ensembl:rRNA nuclear encoded rRNA 5S 23
GCAGGUGGUCAUACUGCCCCAAACACAUAUGAUUUCAUCUGGUCUCAGAAGCUCAGCAGGGUCAGACCUGGUUGGCACUUGGAUGGGGGAAAUAGACAGGAAGGAUGCUACUGUA